MCGGGGGGAACGCGAAGAACCUUACCUGCUCUUGACAUCUCCCUGACCGGCAAGUAAUGUUGCCUUUCCUUCGGGACAGGGAUGACAGGUGGUGCAUGGUUGUCGUCAGCUCGUGUCGUGAGAUGUUGGGUUAAGUCCCGCAACGAGCGCAACCCCUAUCUUUAGUAGCCAGCGGUYAGGCCGGGCACUCUAGRGAGACUGCCAGGGAUAACCUGGAGGAAGGUGGGGAUGACGUCAAAUCAUCAUGCCCCUUAUGAGCAGGGCUACACACGUGCUACAAUGGCGUAAACAAAGGGAGGCAGAACCGCGAGGUSGAGCAAAUCCCAAAAAUAACGUCUCAGUUSGGAUUGUAGUCUGCAACUCGACUACAUGAAGCUGGAAUCGCUAGUAAUCGCGA
rnacentral:rRNA from 1 species